AAGAAGUUAGUUAAAAAAUAACAUUAGUAUGUCAUACUAAAAUUAUUAUUUAUAUUAAUACGUCUUU
rnacentral:tRNA from 1 species